rfam:Loxodonta africana cont3.23651, whole genome shotgun sequence.
UUGCUCACCCUUCACAGCGCCCUCUCACAAGGUGGUGUGGGCAGUCUUUAGCACAUACCAGUGGUCACAACGGUUCUUGUUAAGUUCAGAGGUGACUGAAUAAAUAGGUCCUCUCCUUUGAGCUGCGGGACAGACAGCCCUGUUGGCUGUUUUCAUUUUACAGCAAGGGAAGCUGAGAUUUGGAAAG